GUUUUUGGCGUUGCCUUGUAAGCCGUUCCCUCCAUUCGUUCCUUGCGGGAAGCGACGUCCAAAGCAAUCGAAGCCUCGUGGUUUUUGGCGUGGCCUGUUUGGCUGUAUCGCGCCGUUCCCUCCGUUCGUUCCUGGCGGAGCGACGUCCAAAGACCUACAGAAGGGCUCUUUAUGUCCCUCUGUCCGGUGGUGGUCGCAAGCGAGGCCUGCACCGUUAUUGCCAUCACCAUAGUCUGAAGACCUACAGCAGGGCUCUGCCUGGCUCUGCGUCCCUCUGUCCAGUGGUGGUCGCAAGCGAGGCCUGCACCGUAAUUGCCAUCACCAUAGUCUGAAGACCUACAGCAGGGCUCUGCCUGGCUCUGCGUCCCUCUGUCCAGUGGUGGUCGCAAGCGAGGCCUGCACCGUAAUUGCCAUCACCAUACUCUGAAGACCUACAGCAGGGCUCUGCCUGGCUCUGCGUCCCUCUGUCCAGUGGUGGUCGCAAGCGAGGCCUGCACCGUAAUUGCCAUCACCAUAGUCUGAAGAUGGACUCUGUAAGGGCAACUAUAACACAACUGGUACCCGAGAUACCCGAUGGCCAACUUGACGCACUGGUGACCCACCUUGUGGAGGAGGGAUACAGUACAGCAAAAGACCUUCUAUACUUGGAAGAACAGGACUUAAAGCCUUUCCUCAAGACCUUGCAUAUCAGGAAGCUUUUACAUCUCAUAAAAUCUGGGUCCCAACUGCAAACUGAAAACUGUGCACUUCCCUCAACGUCAGCAGCUUCAACACCGACAAACCCAGCGGCAGCCACGGCUCACCGCGCAUCACAAGAGAGGGCUUCGAAGGACCGCUGGGCGAGUUCUUUUGAAGUGGA
rnacentral:lncRNA from 1 species